AGCAGCCGCGGUAAUUCCAGCUCCAAUAGCGUAUAUUAAAGUUGUUGCAGUUAAAAAGCUCGUAGUUGAAUCUCGGGAUCAAGUCGUCGGUCGUGCCUCGGUACGCACUGGUGACAUUGGUUUCUCCCUUCUGAAGAACCUUGAUGUCAUUAAUUUGGUGUCUUGGGGAAUCAGGACUGUUAACUUUGAAAAAUUAGAGUGUUUAAAGCAGGCUCACGCUUGAAUACAUUAGCAUGGAAUAAUGAAAUAGGACGUUUGAUUCUAUUUUGUUGGUUUCUAGGAUCGACGUAAUGAUUAAUAGGGAUAGUUGGGGGCAUUAGUAUUCAAUUG
rnacentral:misc_RNA from 1 species